UACGUAGGGGGCAAGCGUUGUCCGGAAUCAUUGGGCGUAAAGAGCGCGUAGGCGGCCUGGUAAGUCCUCUGUGAAAGUCCAGGGCUCAACCCUGGAAUGCCGGUGGAAACUGUCAGGCUCGAGUCCGGAAGAGGCGAGUGGAAUUCCUGGUGUAGCGGUGAAAUGCGCAGAUAUCAGGAGGAACACCAAUGGCGAAGGCAGCUCGCUGGGACGGUACUGACGCUGAGACGCGAAAGCGUGGGGAGCAAACAGG
rnacentral:rRNA from 1 species